rnacentral:lncRNA from 1 species
AUGUGUAUAAUUUCAUAUCAAGUGGAAUGCAACAUGCGUAAUAAAGUAAAGCAGUUAAGAGUGAUAGCAGAUGAAGUGUAUAUGAUAUACAGUCAUCCAAAAUAAAAUAAGAUAGUAAAGCUCUACAUAUGGCAUAGAGCCUUUCAAAAGAAGAAAAGAGUAAAGGAAACUNAGUUAUAUACAACCAAAUAACUGAGCUACACUACUCUACAACAUCAGCAGUGACUGGAACAUCAGGGUCCUCUAAGAUCUGCUCCAAAGGUGCCUCUCCUACCUCUGCUCACAUCCAUAAUUGGAUGAUCAUUGCAGAAGGAACAACCACAAACAAAACAGACAACACACAUGCAAGGGUAAGCUAGAAUUCAAAUGAAAACAAAUCAAUUACAAUUAAAC